UACGUAGGAUGCAAGCGUUGUCCGGAUUUACUGGGCGUAAAGAGCUCGUAGGCGGGGACGCGCGUCUCGGAGUAAAUUCCAGGGCUCAACCCUGGAGCUUUCCGGGAUACGGCGUCUCUUGAGGGCAGAAGAGGAGAACGGAAUUCCCGGUGUAGAGGUGAAAUGCGCAGAUAUCGGGAAGAACACCCGUGGCGAAGGCGGCACUCUGGGACGGUACUGACGCUGAGACGCGAAAGCGUGGGGAGCGAACAGG
rnacentral:rRNA from 1 species